rnacentral:rRNA from 1 species
CCUACGGGUAGCAGCAGUGAGGAAUAUUGGUCAAUGGGCGCGAGCCUGAACCAGCCAAGUAGCGUGAAGGAUGACUGCCCUACGGGUUGUAAACUUCUUUUAUAAAGGAAUAAAGUGAGGCACGUGUGCCUUUUUGUCUGUACUUUAUGAAUAAGGAUCGGCUAACUCCGUGCCAGCAGCCGCGGUAAUACGGAGGGUGCGAGCGUUAUCCGGAUUUAUUGGGUGUAAAGGGAGCGUAGAUGGGUUGUUAAGGCGGUUGUGAAAUUUUGCGGCGCAACCGUGAAAUUGCAAUUAAUACUGGCAGUAUUGAGUGCUGUUGAGGUAGGCGGAAUUCGUGGUGUAGCGGUGAAAUGCUUAGAUAUCACGAGGAACACCAGUGGCGAAGGCAGCUUACUAAACUGCCACUGACAUUGAUGCUCGAAAGUGUGGGUAUCAAACAGGAUUAGAUACCCCAGUAGUC